AUCCACGUAGGCAACCGAGAGACAAAAAUUAAAAUUAAAAUUUAAUUUAAUUUAAUCUAGUUUAACAAAAUCUAUGCCCACGUGGUAGAUUACGUCACACGUGGAAGAAAGCGUUGGCCCUGCUGGACUUCAAUGCAGCAGUGAGCCCUAAUUUAUACCCGCCCUGGCACGGUCACCAUCCCCUGAUACUCAUUUCCGCACCCUCCCUCCCUUGGGCAAGGUCCUUGUUGAUUUUUAUUAUAACAAGCAUGUAGUAAAACAUUGUAAAUAAUGUACUAGAUACAAACCUAUAAUUCUCUAUUAUAAAAUAUUAAAAUAAAGUUAAAAUAAAAAAUGCUACACAACUGGACUUGUGAAUCCUUCUAGCUUUGGAAAUUCUAUUUUAAAAGCCAAUACAAAGUUUAGCAUUUAUUUGCAUGAAUGUAAAUCAUGUAUUAAAUUUGCAUUUUAUUAUUAUUAUUAUUAUUAUUAUUAUUUUGUUAUAUUACUCAGAGAUGUCUACACGUCCAAUAGAAAUGGAAGAAAAAGAAUGCAUUGUUUUCAAAUACACAAUCCUUAUUGCUAAAGUAUUUUGUCAAUUUGUUUUUCAGAUUUGAUGUUAAAAAAUAACACAAGUAGUGUAAACAAAAAAAUUAAAUCUAAAAACUACAUAAGUAAGUUUGCCCAUGCGGUUGCAAACAAUGUCAAUUGUUUGUAUUUAGUAACGUUUUUACGUUAAUAGUCUUACCACCAUAUUUCGGUUGAUAAUCCAAUACAAAUAUUUAUGUAAUUGCAAGUUAAGUAUUCCAAUCACACAUAACUUGCAAUAACUUAGUUUCAUGACUUCACAUGUGUGAUUAUGUGUGAUCUAUAUUGACCACUAAGAAAACAAUUUGUACAAAAAGAAUGGUUGUUUUAAUGAUAAUAAUAAUUAAAAAAAAAAUGGU
rnacentral:lncRNA from 1 species